UGUUGGCAGGAGGGAGGGAUGGUCAGAAACUAACAACUAAAGUAAGAGCUGACUUUGGUUGUGUUCUUGGGGUGUAGGCCAAAACACCACUGUCAACUGAGUGAUGAGAAUGGGGGAGGUCACAGGUACUCGAACCGCAGGAUGGUGGGUGACUGCACUGGCUCCACACACGUGGAGCGCAGCACUGAAACGGCCUGCUUCCCGGGAGAGACAGGGCAGCUGCCGUGGCUUCGGGACGGUAGGCUGUGAGUGCAGACGGGACCACUGGCCUCCUCGGCGGCUGUGUGCCUACUGUGUCUUCCCACAUUCCUAAGUUGACACCUACCUCCCCCAGGGGCAUAGAGUUAGGAUGGAGGGCCCCUGGGAGCUGAUCAGGAUUAGAUAAGGUCAAAAGGUGGGCCUCUCUCGAUAGGGUUGGUGUCCUUGUCAGGAGAGGAAGAGACCAGGGCUGGCUCUCCACGUGAGAGGACGCAGCCAGGCGGUGGUCAGGAAGGAGGCCCUCACCGGGAGCGGCCCUACUGGCACUUCGAUCUCAGACGUGGAGCCUCUGCCAUCAUGACAAGUGUCUGCGGGAGGAGCAGGCCAGCCCGUACUGUGCUGUUAGGGCCACCUGGGCAGGCUUCCAUAGCAGCCAGCGUGGCAGUGAUAAGAGCCAGCGUUGGUUUCCUCCUUGAUUUUAGAGCAAGGAAAGGAGAAAGAGAGAGAAACAUUGAUUUGUUGUCCAUUCAUUGAUGCAUUCAUUCAUUGGCUGAUUGUUGUAUGUGCCCUGACCAGGAAUCGAACCUAGAACCCUGGCAUAUUGGGGUGAUGCCCUAACUGACUGAACUACCUACCCAGCCAGGGCUAAAGUCAUCAUUCCUGAAAAAUGUUUAAUGGGAUUCCAGGUCUUCAAAGACAAUGGUAGCUUUCUAACAGACCCUUCGAGCAUUUUCCAUCCAAAGAACCACCAGAAAAUAGACCAGGUGUGUACAAUACCCUGUUCACACUUCCCUGUGUGGUGUCUUGGCCUUCUGCCCACUCUGAUCCCUCCAACAGCCCGCGUGGGUGCACGGGCAGGAGGGCUGACUGGCCAGGUGGCCAGAGGCAGAGGGGGGGUUGUAGGGAAUCCAGCAGGUGGCCCUUGCCCCUGUGGAUGGGGAACCCGCUUCACCAGGUAGAAACCUCAAGCCCAGGCCGGCCAAGCUUGCCCCCAACAGCACUUGAGGUGUGAAAAACAUCUGGGAUCAGAAGUUCAUAAAAUAAGGACAGAAACGGGCAAGAAACAACAGGAACAGUGGCUUGAACU